GGGAGCUAGCGCCAAGGUAUACAUUUGCUCUUAAGAACAGCUGGAACGCACGGACAUUUUGGCGGACGUUCAGAUGCGGAAUGCACAGAAGUGAGUCACAAAAGUUCCGACAAGCAGGAGAGAAAAAAGCAGCGGGAAGUGUUAUUUACAACAAACGAAGACAUCUAGGAUGCCAACGAAUCCGGAGGUCAGAUGAAAGGACACCCACUAAUCCAUGAAUGACUCUCUAGGGGCUAGCUCUAUAUAAAGAAAGCUAUGGGGAGGUGUAUUUAGGCUGUAAUUUUUUGUAUUGCAUUGUUAUUAUUGUUUUUACCUAAAUGCGUCCCUGGGGAAGUGCUCAUGUGAGAAUGAAAU